rnacentral:rRNA from 1 species
GAUGAACGCUGGCGGCGUGCUUAACACAUGCAAGUCGAACGGAAAGGCCCUGCUUUUGUGGGGUGCUCGAGUGGCGAACGGGUGAGUAACACGUGAGUAAUCUGCCCUUGACUUUGGGAUAACUUUAGGAAACUGGGGCUAAUACCGGAUAGGAGCUCCUGCUGCAUGGUGGGGGUUGGAAAGUUUCGGCGGUUGGGGAUGUACUCGCGGCUUAUCAGCUUGUUGGUGGGGUAGUGGCUUACCAAGGCUUUGACGGGUAGCCGGCCUGAGAGGGUGGCCGGCCACAUUGGGACUGAGAUACGGCCCAGACUCCUACGGGAGGCAGCAGUGGGGAAUAUUGCACAAUGGGCGGAAGCCUGAUGCAGCAACGCCGCGUGCGGGAUGACGGCCUUCGGGUUGUAAACCGCUUUCGCCUGUGACGAAGCGUGAGUGACGGUAAUGGGUAAAGAAGCACCGGCUAACUACGUG